rnacentral:lncRNA from 1 species
CUAUGAUAUGAAACACAGAGAUAAUACCUUGGAAGCACUACGUUAACAAAACAAAAUAUCUAUGAAUAUGAUAGGUCUCCUUAAAAGAGGCGUGGUUUGUCAAACAGCUUUAUUCACAGCUGCAAUCUUUAGAUAGAAGAUAAAAUGUCGAUACAUUGUAGAUGUCUACGGACUUGUUUUAUUUGUAUGUGAUAUUUGUAUUUUGAAGAAAACUAAGUCCUACAAAAAUGUAAUGCCUUGAGACAGAAAAUAAAUAUCUUGAAACUUUGUUGAUGUUUAAGAACAUACUGUAUUGGUAUAUAGUAUUUGUAUUUUGAAAUAAAAUACCGUACUAAUAGAAUACGACAGGAAAUUAUCAUUAUUGUUCUAUUUAUUUAAAGAUAUUUUUAAUGGUUAAAAUUGUCUAGUAUAUUUAUAUUCAGAUGUUUUUGUUUAUUUUCUCACCCACAGCCAAGCACUGUAUUUCUUGAGAAGUGUACAUGCACGGUCAAUUAGAUCUUAAAG